UACAGAGGGUGCAAGCGUUAAUCGGAAUUACUGGGCGUAAAGCGUGCGUAGACGGUUAUUUAAGUCAGGUGUGAAAGCCCCGGGCUCAACCUGGGAAUUGCAUUUGAGACUGAAUAGCUAGGGUGCGGAAGAGGGAAGCGGAAUUUCCGGGUGUAGCGGUGAAAUGCGUAGAUAUCGGAAGGAACACCAGUGGCGAAGGCGGUUCUCGUGGGCCUGUACUGACGCUGAGGAGCGAAAGCGUGGG
rnacentral:rRNA from 1 species